rnacentral:rRNA from 1 species
UGCUUUGCAUCGUGUGAGCGAGCGUAUUCAAUAAGUCAUAACGACUCUCGGCAACGGAUAUCUCGGCUCUCGCAUCGAUGAAGAACGUAGCAAAAUGCGAUACGUAGUGUGAAUUGCAGGAUCCCGUGAACCAUCGAGUUUUUGAACGCAAGUUGCGCCCGAAGCCUUUAGGCCGAGGGCACGCCUGCCUGGGCGUCACGCA